UGGAGUUGUGGCCGGCGUUCUACGCAUGCAAGUCGCACGAGGCGCAAGCCGAGUGGCGGACGGGUGAGUAACAUCAGGCACCUGCCCGGGAGUGGGGGACAACUCUCCGAAAGGUUUAUCUAAGACCGCAUACGGUCUACGGACCAAAUCCGAAAGUCGCUCUCGGUGGGUUCCGCGAUGGAUUUGGUUUUUGGUGGGGUUUUUGCCACCCUUUCAUCUUUCU
rnacentral:rRNA from 1 species